GGGAGGGAAGCGAUUCUGGUGUCGGUAUUGAGAAGGAAACAAUAUUGGUCUGAAAAGAAAGGAGGGCAGACAUCAACGUGGCUGUGAGGGAACUCAUCCACCCAAUCAACAUUGACAAAAACUCGAUCAAGACGACAAUGACGUUUGAUUAUUAGUCCAAGUGAAGAGUGGACCACUAUAAUGAUGAUCCCAAACCUGCAGUCCAUUGAUCCAAUUCUGAAAGUUCUUCAUCCCAGCAGUAAUAAAGUUCAUAUUAGAGGUAUCAGAAGGAGAGGCCAUUGCAUUAAAAUCACCCAUAAAAAUAAAAGCACCUGAAAAGGGGAUGGAGGAUCCAUAAAAUUGACGUCACCACGCUUCCUUGUUAGCUCCAUAAACAAAUAAACAAUAGAACCCUGAACCUUGACCAAUGUACCCAAUGUGCAGAAGGAUGUGUUGAUCCGAGGCAUUAAUAAUCUGAAGGGUAACAACAGGCUUCCACAAAAACCAGAUUUUUUCAAAAGAUGACGAGGAACAAGUAGCAAAGUGAUUCUACAAAGUUGAUCAGAGGAUUGAGAAACACAGACAAAGCCGUCUCUACCACACAAACGAAUUGCCAUAGCCUGAAACACGCGAAUAGGGGGAAUGGGUCCAAGAAAUUGAGCGACGAGGCGUCACUUCAUCUUUAGCAAACCCUUCUCCACUGUAGAUAUGGGAAUUUGCAAGAUACCGUUGAUGAGGAUCGGCUUGAUAUAUGAGAGGGAAAACUCAGAUUCACCUUCAAAGAGAGCAGCCCAGGGGUUCAGAGCAGGAGGGGGAGGAAAGGAUGAGAAAGGGGAGGAGGGCGGAGGGGUGGACGCGCAACCACUCGCCACCAUGAACCGAUGGAUCGAAUGCAGCGCCUCACCGGAGUAGCAAAACCCGACGAAAAUCAGAAGAAAUUUCAUAGAGAAUCACGCGCUACAUGCGACAUACUCUACUGUUUUCUUUAAAAAAAAUUCAAGGAACGACUGGAUAGUUAUUGUCAAGAGGAGAUUGAUCAACUUCUUCUUCGUCUUCAGUAUUAGAGAAUGGGGUUUAAUGGGAGAAUAAAAAAUUGUUUGGGUGGGAUGUGAGUGAGGUAAAUAUUCCGGGGGAGAUGGCAUGAAGGAAGUUUCUUAGACAUGGAGUUGGUUUUCAAGGUAUGGAGUUUACAGAAAAAACAGUAGGAUAAAGGGACGACGAUGGGAUAAUUUCUUAGGUAUCCACUACAAUUGAAGAGAAGUGACUACUACAAUCCAAC
rnacentral:lncRNA from 1 species